rnacentral:rRNA from 1 species
UACGGAGGGGGCAAGCGUUAUUCGGAAUUAUUGGGCGUAAAGGGCGCGUAGGCGGCUAGAUGUGUCAAAGGUGAAAUCCCUCGGCUCAACUGAGGAACUGCCUUUGAAACUGUCUGGCUUGAGGCCGGGAGAGGGUAGCGGAAUUCCCAGUGUAGCGGUGAAAUGCGUAGAUAUUGGGAGGAGCACCAGUGGCGAAGGCGGCUACCUGGACCGGUUCUGACGCUGAGGCGCGAAAGCGUGGGUAGCAAACAGG